AUCGCUUCUCGGCCUUUUGGCUAAGAUCAAGCG
rnacentral:snRNA from 1 species